GGCUACGCUGGCCGUUGCCAGCGCUGGAAGGAACCUCGGAGGCUGGGGCAGCCUCGGCUGCGUCCACCUUCGGGGUCGUUGGCCCCGUCUGCUGGGUAGACGGAGCAGCGCUAGCUGCAACCGCUGCGGGGGCAGAUGGCGUAACUGCCGACUCACUGCCUGUGGGUCGGACAGCCGCUGGAGGCCGUUGUGACGCUGCCCCCUUACGCGCCACAUCGGCAAAGCUACUCUUAGACAGGACGGGCAGGCGCGCGAGUAUGCGGCGUGCUCGCCAUCACAGUUGACACAGUGUGGAGUCUUCUGGCAUGUUUCGGAGGAAUGUUCGGUGUCACUACACUUGGCACAUGUCAGCCGGCCUCGACAGUUCUGUGAACUGUGGCCGAACCUUUGGCACUUGAAGCAUCUGAGAGGAUUGGGCACGUAUGGCCUAACACGAAGUUUGAUGUAACCGGCCUCGAUGGACUCGGGGAGGACACUUGAGCUGAAA